CCCUUAGAUGUCCGGGGCCGCACGCGCGCUACACUGAAGGAAUCAGCGUGGCUUUCUCCCUGACCCGAAAGGGUUGGGAAACCCGUUGAAUCUCCUUCGUGAUAGGGAUUGGGGCUUGAAAUUGUUCCCCAUGAACGAGGAAUUCCCAGUAAGCGCGAGUCAUAAGCUCGCGUUGAUUACGUCCCUGCCCUUUGUACACACCGCCCGUCGCACCUACCGAUUGAAUGGUUCGGUGAAGAUCUCGGACUUCGAUAUUUAUUCUUUAUUGAGUUUAUAUUGUGGGAAGUUAUCUAAACCUCAUCAUUUAGAGGAAGGUGAAGUCGCAACA
rnacentral:rRNA from 1 species